rnacentral:rRNA from 1 species
GAUGAACGCUAGCUACAGGCUUAACACAUGCAAGUCGAGGGGAAACGAUAUUGGAAGCUUGCUUCCGAUAGGCGUCGACCGGCCCACGGGUGAGUAACGCGUAUCCAACCUGCCCAUCACUUGGGGAUAACCUUGCGAAAGUAAGACUAAUACCCAAUGACGUCUCUAGAAGACAUCUGAAAGGGAUUAAAGAUUUAUCGGUGAUGGAUGGGGAUGCGUCUGAUUAGCUUGUUGGCGGGGUAACGGCCCACCAAGGCGACGAUCAGUAGGGGUUCUGAGAGGAAGGUCCCCCACAUUGGAACUGAGACACGGUCCAAACUCCUACGGGAGGCAGCAGUGAGGAAUACUGGUCAAUGGACGAGAGUCUGAACCAGCCAAGUAGCGUGCAGGAUGACGGCCCUAUGGGUUGUAAACUGCUUUUAUAGGGGAAUAAAGUGGGAGUCGUGACUCUUUUUGCAUGUACCUUAUGGAUAAGGACCGGCUAACUCCGUGCCAGCAGCCGCCGUAA